AGUUUGAUCCUGGCUCAGAUUGAACGCUGGCGGCAUGCCUUACACAUGCAAGUCGAACGGCAGCGCGGGGGCAACCCUGGCGGCGAGUGGCGAACGGGUGAGUAAUACAUCGGAACGUGUCCUGUAGUGGGGGAUAGCCCGGCGAAAGCCGGAUUAAUACCGCAUACGCUCUACGGAGGAAAGGGGGGGAUCUUAGGACCUCUCGCUACAGGGGCGGCCGAUGGCAGAUUAGCUAGUUGGUGGGGUAAAGGCCUACCAAGGCGACGAUCUGUAGCUGGUCUGAGAGGACGACCAGCCACACUGGGACUGAGACACGGCCCAGACUCCUACGAGAGGCAGCAGUGGGGAAUUUUGGACAAUGGGCGCAAGCCUGAUCCAGCAAUGCCGCGUGUGUGAAGAAGGCCUUCGGGUUGUAAAGCACUUUUGUCCGGAAAGAAAACGCCGUGGUUAAUACCCGUGGCGGAUGACGGUACCGGAAGAAUAAGCACCGGCUAACUACGUGCCAGCAGCCGCGGUAAUACGUAGGGUGCAAGCGUUAAUCGGAAUUACUGGGCGUAAAGCGUGCGCAGGCGGUCCGCUAAGACAGAUGUGAAAUCCCCGGGCUUAACCUGGGAACUGCAUUUGUGACUGGCGGGCUAGAGUAUGGCAGAGGGGGGUAGAAUUCCACGUGUAGCAGUGAAAUGCGUAGAGAUGUGGAGGAAUACCGAUGGCGAAGGCAGCCCCCUGGGCCAAUACUGACGCUCAUGCACGAAAGCGUGGGGAGCAACAGGAUUAGAUACCCUGGUAGUCCACGCCCUAAACGAUGUCAACUAGUUGUUGGGGAUUCAUUUCCUUAGUAACGUAGCUAACGCGUGAAGUUGACCGCCUGGGGAGUACGGUCGCAAGAUUAAAACUCAAAGGAAUUGACGG
rnacentral:rRNA from 1 species